rnacentral:rRNA from 1 species
UACGAAGGGGGCUAGCGUUGCUCGGAAUCACUGGGCGUAAAGCGCACGUAGGCGGAUUCUUAAGUCAGGGGUGAAAUCCCGGAGCUCAACUCCGGAACUGCCUUUGAUACUGAGAAUCUUGAGUUCGAGAGAGGUGAGUGGAACUGCGAGUGUAGAGGUGAAAUUCGUAGAUAUUCGCAAAGAACACCAGUGGCGAAGGCGGCUCACCUGGCUCGAUACUGACGCUGAGGUGCGAAAGCGUGGGGAGCAAACAGG